rnacentral:rRNA from 1 species
GACGGAAGGUGCAAGCGUUGCUCGGAAUCACUGGGCGUAAAGGGUGCGUAGGCGGCCGUGCAAGUCUGGCGUGAAAGCCCCGGGCUCAGCCCGGGAAGUGCGCUCGAAACUGCGCGGCUCGAGUGCCGGAGGGGAGAGUGGAAUUCCUGGUGUAGCGGUGAAAUGCGUAGAUAUUAGGAAGAACACCAGUGGCGAAGGCGGCUCACUGGUCCGGUACUGACGCUGAGGUGCGAAAGCGUGGGGAGCAAACAGG